UACAGAGGGUGCGAGCGUUAAUCGGAAUUACUGGGCGUAAAGCGCACGUAGGUGGCGACGUAAGUCGGGUGUGAAAGCCCCGGGCUCAACCUGGGAAUUGCAUUCGAGACUGCAUUGCUGGAGUACGGAAGAGGAAGGCGGAAUUCCCGGUGUAGCGGUGAAAUGCGUAGAUAUCGGGAGGAACAUCAGUGGCGAAGGCGGCCCACUGGCUCGACACUGACGCUGAGGUGCGAAAGCGUGGGGAGCAAACAGG
rnacentral:rRNA from 1 species